GACGAACGCUGGCGGCGUGCUUAACACAUGCAAGUCGAACGGAAAGGCCCCUUUGGGGGUCCUCGAGUGGCGAACGGGUGAGUAACACGUGAGUAACCUGCCCUUGACUUCGGGAUAACUUCAGGAAACUGGGGCUAAUACCGGAUAGGAAUCCUUGCUGCAUGGUGGGGGUUGGAAAGCUUCGGCGGUUUUGGAUGGACUCGCGGCUUAUCAGCUUGUUGGUGGGGUAGUGGCUUACCAAGGCUUUGACGGGUAGCCGGCCUGAGAGGGCGACCGGCCACAUUGGGACUGUGAUACGGCCCAGACUCCUACGGGAGGCAGCAGUGGGGAAUAUUGCACAAUGGGCGGAAGCCUGAUGCAGCAACGCCGCGUGCGGGAUGACGGCCUUCGGGUUGUAAACCGCUUUCAGCAGGGGCGAAGCUUGUGGUGACGGUACCUGCAGAAGAAGCACCGGCUAACUACGUG
rnacentral:rRNA from 1 species